GGUGAUCGUGGUGGUCGUGGUGGUCGUGGUGGUCGUGCUUCUCGUGGUGGUGGAUGUGCUCCUUGGUCUGGUGUAUCUGGAUGGGUCGGUGGUCCUCGUGGAUCACCUUCUUCUCCUCCUUCAGGACGAGCGGCUUGUGGUGAUGGUGCACGUGCUUCACCACCGUGUGUAUGUGCUUCUCGAUCUUCUUGUGGAUUGGCACGUGGAUCACGAUUUUCUUCUUUUUCUGGUGGCUUCUGGAAAAGUGCAAUAAAAAAAUAUUAUUGUAAUCCACUCUAUAUUAUGCUAGGGCUUGGGAUAUAACAAUUAUCUGCCAUUUUGCUUUCGGCCUUCAUCCAAGUUUUUAGUUAUCCCCGGUAAUCCAUACCCCGCAUCCGUUUCCGGCACGCAGACGAGCAGCAGCACCAGCGCCACCACAAUCGAGAGCCUCAGCAGCUGCAAGAAAAGGCCCCGUUUAUUGGGCGUAAUCCUCGGGUAAUCCUGGGCACAAGGCCCGCGACGGGCACUCACCAAACUGCGGUUAUCCAUGUCGCUUGGCUAGAGAUCCAGGUGCAGGUGUUGAGGUGUUGAAGGCUCAGACGAUGCGGCUGCUUUGAUUGCUGCCCCACUGCGACCAUUUUAUUUAUACAGGCCCACGGAAUGCGGUGGGCAUGGUGGCUAUAAUGGAAUACCCCGGCGCCAGUUGGCGGCGCUUCCGUGACGCAGUCCAUCGAAGCUAUGGGCAGAGCCAUGGGUUUUCGUUUGCUUUGCCUCGGUGAAGCCUCUGCGCACGCGCCGCGAACGAAAAGAGCUGGCUGCGCAGAGGAAAACCUGCAAUUUUCAUUCAUUUCGGAUGGCAGCGAUCAUCGUGUCAUGGCUUGUGGGUGGUUUUCAGCCAGGUGGGGACUAACUACUCCUCACCCAGGCCCAAAUUAGCCCUAAUUUGUGAAGUUUACACGGCAAAAAAAUAUUUUAUUUUUGAUGAUUGAAUUUAUUGUGAUCAAAGUAAAAUGUAUCAAUUGAAUAAAGGUUUUAUAUUGUA